rnacentral:rRNA from 1 species
GACGAACGCUGGCGGCGUGCUUAACACAUGCAAGUCGAACGGAAAGGCCCUGCUUUUGUGGGGUGCUCGAGUGGCGAACGGGUGAGUAACACGUGAGUAACCUGCCCUUGACUUUGGGAUAACUUAAGGAAACUGGGGCUAAUACCGGAUAGGAGCUCCGGCUGCAGGGUGGGGGUGGGAAAGUUUCGGCGGUUGGGGAUGGACUCGCGGCUUAUCAGCUUGUUGGUGGGGUAGUGGCUUACCAAGGCUUUGACGGGUAGCCGGCCUGAGAGGGUGACCGGCCACAUUGGGACUGAGAUACGGCCCAGACUCCUACGGGGGGCAGCAGUGGGGAAUAUUGCACAAUGGGCGGAAGCCUGAUGCAGCAACGCCGCGUGCGUGAUGACGGCUUUCGGGUUGUAAACCGCUUUCGCCUGUGACGAAGCGUGAGUGACGGUAAUGGGUAAAGAAGCACCGGCUAACUACGUG